GGGCGAUUGGCGCAGUGGUAGCGCGCUUCGUUCACACCGAAGAGGUCGGCGGUUCGAAACCGCCAUCGCCCACUA
rnacentral:tRNA from 1 species